AAAGGUAGCAUAAUCAAUUGGCUUAUAAUUGAAGUCUAGUAUGAAUGGGAAUCCGGGGAAUAGCUAUCUAAGUCUAGAUAACAGAAAUUACUUAAUGAGUGAAAAGUCUCAUAAACAGAAGAAAGACGAGAAGACCCUAGAAAUUUUAUUAUUAAAUUCUAUAUACUAUUUUGUUGGGGCGACAUAGUAACAAAUAACUUACUAUACUAUACAAGCUACUAAUGAGUUGCGAGAAUAAAUUACUCUAGGGAUAACAGCAUUAUUCAUUAUGAGUUUAUGACCUCGAUGUUGGACUAGGAAAUAAUUUUUUUAGAAGAUAAAUUAUCUAAGCUCUGUUCGAGCUCUACUUCCUACAU
rnacentral:rRNA from 1 species